CUUGACCGAGCCCAGGUAGAGCGGUCGGUCGCGGUCCUGGCCGUAGGUGGCCAGCAGGGCCUGGGCCUC
rnacentral:antisense_RNA from 1 species